rnacentral:rRNA from 1 species
GACGAACGCUGGCGGCGUGCUUAACACAUGCAAGUCGAACGGUAAGGCCCUUCGGGGUACACGAGUGGCGAACGGGUGAGUAACACGUGGGUGACCUGCCCUGCACUUUGGGAUAAGCCUGGGAAACUGGGUCUAAUACCGAAUACACCCUGCUGGUCGCAUGGCCUGGUGGGGGAAAGCUUUUGCGGUGUGGGACGGGCCCGCGGCCUAUCAGCUUGUUGGUGGGGUGAUGGCCUACCAAGGCGACGACGGGUAGCCGGCCUGAGAGGGUGUCCGGCCACACUGGGACUGAGAUACGGCCCAGACUCCUACGGGAGGCAGCAGUGGGGAAUAUUGCACAAUGGGCGCAAGCCUGAUGCAGCGACGCCGCGUGAGGGAUGACGGCCUUCGGGUUGUAAACCUCUUUCAAUAGGGACGAAGCGCAAGUGACGGUACCUAUAGAAGAAGCACCGGCCAACUACGUGCCAGCAGCCGCGGUAAUACGUAGGGUGCGAGCGUUGUCCGGAAUUACUGGGCGUAAAGAGCUCGUAGGUGGUUUGUCGCGCUGUUCGUGAAAACUCACAGCUUAACUGUGGGCGUGCGGGCGAUACGGGCAGACUGGAGUACUGCAGGGGAGACUGGAAUUCCUGGUGUAGCGGUGGAAUGCGCAGAUAUCAGGAGGAACACCGGUGGCGAAGGCGGGUCUCUGGGCAGUAACUGACGCUGAGGAGCGAAAGCGUGGGGAGCGAACAGGAUUAGAUACCCUGGUAGUCCACGCCGUAAACGGUGGGUACUAGGUGUGGGUUUCCUUCCUUGGGAUCCGUGCCGUAGCUAACGCAUUAAGUACCCCGCCUGGGGAGUACGGCCGCAAGGCUAAAACUCAAAGAAAUUGACGGGGGCCCGCACAAGCGGCGGAGCAUGUGGAUUAAUUCGAUGCAACGCGAAGAACCUUACCUGGGUUUGACAUGCACAGGACGCCGGCAGAGAUGUCGGUUCCCUUGUGGCCUGUGUGCAGGUGGUGCAUGGCUGUCGUCAGCUCGUGUCGUGAGAUGUUGGGUUAAGUCCCGCAACGAGCGCAACCCUUGUCUCAUGUUGCCAGCACGUUAUGGUGGGGACUCGUGAGAGACUGCCGGGGUCAACUCGGAGGAAGGUGGGGAUGACGUCAAGUCAUCAUGCCCCUUAUGUCCAGGGCUUCACACAUGCUACAAUGGCCGGUACAAAGGGCUGCGAUGCCGUGAGGUGGAGCGAAUCCUUUCAAAGCCGGUCUCAGUUCGGAUCGGGGUCUGCAACUCGACCCCGUGAAGUCGGAGUCGCUAGUAAUCGCAGAUCAGCAACGCUGCGGUGAAUACGUUCCCGGGCCU